AUUGGAAAGAUGUGAAACAUAUCGAUUCAAUUUAUUAGACAAUCAGGGAGCCCAGGAGUUGGAGUAUGUUGGGUCAUGUUGUAGGGGGAAUCGCCAAGGAGAUCCCAGAAUCCUCACCUUUGCAAGACUUUUAAAAUAGAAACAUCCACAUAAGCUGUGGGUUCUAAAGGAAAACAGUAGGUCACCCAGGAAGACAGCUGCUGUAAAGUUCCUUCUGUGCCUCCUAUUUUUUAUGUAACCUCCAAACAGGAUUAACAGUAACAACCCUCCUGGCCUCUUCCCCUUUGGACGUUUUCCCACAUUGAUUUUUCUCUGCAUCAUAGAAGGCUUUCCCCUGGGGGAGUUCCUGCCCCGUUUUGUUUUGCUGACUUUGAGGAUGCCUGCAGGCUCCAGGUGAGGUUUUUCUCCUCUGGUGCUUUGACUGGUUUUGUUUCCCUUGGGUCACAAAGCAGUAUCCUAGACACACAGACAAUAAUCAGCAGUAUUUAUAGCCCCUCUGGAACCUGUAAAACAGCUCGAGGCUUUACAGAACAAACUCAGGCAUGGAGGCAGGCACAGAGGCCUCUGGAUACUUGUAGGAUGAAACCAUGCUACCUGCUCUCCAUUGCUCACUAAUGCUGCCCUCACGUGUCUCCAGGGCAGUUUUUCUGUCAUGCCUUCCAGUGACAGUGUUACCAGUUCCACGUUAAAUGUGGUGAGAAGGCUCUCUUCCUGUUGGUAUUACCAUAUUUUUGCAGUAUUAUUUUUACCUCAUUUUCUCCUUAAAGUAUCUACUUGUACUAUCUGAAUGUUUUAGGUCAUAUAAAAUUUAUUCAUUCAAAAGAUAUUAAGUAUAUUUAUUAUAUCCUAUGCUCUGAGCUAAGGGCUGGAGAAUAGCAGGUAAAUAAAACUGCUUGAGCUCAACCAUCACUUUUCUUUCUAAAUAUUUAUUAAUUUAUUUUGCUAGAUUCUGAUAAGAACUCUAGGUAAAUACUAAGAUCUUUUAUUAUCCUGUAACUUUUGGCUUAAUGUAUUUCUAUAAAGGUCUCUCUCCACUCCGAAUUGAGAGAGGAUUUAAGAAAAGUGGGAGUUACUACUCUGCCUCCAGUUAAGAAAUAAAUGCACUUAUUUAUGCUUCCCUUUGAAAUAAAUGGAUAUGUGUUGCCUCUGAAGGAAGAAACUCAGAUUCCAUUCCAGUAAUGAAAUGAGUUGUAGCAUGAAAUAGAUUGUGGAUAUUUAAUAUAUUUUAUUUUUAGAAUUGAAUAUUGAAUGCCCUUUGCAAGGCAGUAAGCUAGACCCUGGAACGCUAGGUCCGUGCAAACAAAUGUAACACAGUUCUUAUAAGCUCAGUGUUUUAAUAGUUGAAAAGCAUUGCUACCUUUUACUUUUUGAAAAAGUGAAUUAGAGACUGGCUUCCAGAUAAAGGGGUGAUGGUGUGACCAAAAGUAUCUGCUUGCACCUCUGUUUCUUUUGAUUAAAACUUGUCUUAGAUAUUAUACAUUAAACACAUUUAGGGCUUCCUAUGACAUAGGGAAAUGUCAAAACUGGGGAUGUUCCUACCUUGGCAACAUUUUUUUUUCCCCAGUGGAUUUAUUGCUUGGAUUUUUUUUUUUGGGGGGGUCUUUUUAGGGCCACACCCACAGCAUAUGGAAGUUCCCAGGCUAGAGAUCGAAUCGGAGCUGCAGCUGCCUACCACAGCCACAGCCACAGCCAUGCCAGAUCCAAGCCAUGUCUCAACCUACACCUCAGUUCACAGCAGCACUGGAUCCUUAACCCACUGAGUGAGGCCAGGGAUCAAACCCUCAUCCUCAUGGAUACUAGUUGGGUUUGUUACUGCUGAGCGACAAUGGGAACUCCUAUUGCUUGGAAUUCUUAAAAUUGUGAAAAUAUAUCUCAAACAUCCACUAAACAUGUCUCAAUCCAUGCAAGUUAGGCUAGAAUAUGGCCUAAAAAUUGUUGCUGAAGACAAUUUUUUAGUGUUGCCUAGUUGAUGGCCCAUAAUAAAAAAGUUCACAUCUUUUACUUGAUACAGACCUUGUGUUUAGGAAAAGAUGUCAGAAGGCUGCCAACAAAAACUCUGAUUGGUGAGGAAUAUGUACACUAAAAGAAUAUUUCCAUGUUAGUUAUUCCGUAUAAUAUAUUCACAUUCUAAGGCCGCAUGUCUCUCAAGAGUUUGUCAAGUUUUUUUAUAGUUGGUGCCUUCAACAAAGCUUACUAAUUCUGCCACAUAUCCUUGUGGACCAUGCUAAUGUUUAUUAAUUUACAACUACCCCAAAAUAUAAUGCAGUCUUCCGUUAUGCCACCGUAAUAAUACAGCUACAAGUUAAAUUUUAGCGUUAUGAAUCACAAAGUCUUCUUCAGAACUUUAAUUUUAUUAAAGAUUCUACUCAGUUUGUGAAUAAGAAUAUUUGCAUACAUUAUUGUGAUUGAGAAAUUUGUAUAUUUGUUGGAAUAAGAUUUGACUUCUAUUUUCAGAGGGAAAAAAUACGAUAGUCUUUUAAUCUAUUUACUUUUUUUAAAAGAUGCUUUUUUAAAAACUUAAUUUUUUAAGCAGUUUUAAGUUCACAGAAGAAUUGAGUAGAAAGUUCAGAGUUCCUAUAUGCUCCCUCCCUCCACACCUGAUACCUCCCCCCACACUUGAUACCUCCCCCCACGCUUGAUACCUCCCCUGCUAUCAACAUCCCGCACCAAGAUGGGUACCAUCUGUUACUAUUGGUGAACCUAUGUUGACCCAUCAUUACCAUCCAAAAUCCAUAGUUUACCUCAGGGUUCCCUCUUGGGAGUCUCAUUACCUUAAAAACCUUUGUCUUCUGCUUCUUCAUACCUCCCUGCCAACCCUUAGCAAUCAGUGAUCUUUUUACUAUCUCCAUGUUUUUGCCUUUUCAGAAUGUCAUAUUGUUGGAAUCAUACAGUGUGUGGUCUCUUCAAAUUGGCUUCUUUCAUUGAGUAAUAUGGAUUUAAGUUUCCUUCAUGUCUUUAUAACUCACUUCUUUUUAUUUAUUUUUUUUUAUUUUUUUUUUACCAUAUGAUCCAAAGCAAUUUUAACUCACUUCUUUUUAACGCUGAAUAACAAAAUACCAUUGUCUAGAUAUGCUGGUUUAUUUUUUUUAAAUCUAUUUACUUUUAUUUGCAGUUCUAACUGCUGUGUUACGUUUUGUUAGCAUUUACAUCCUCAAGAAAAAUAGAUGGAUUAAUACAUAUGAUUCACCAAAUGUAGCAACUUCCACUUUGGGAUCAAUUUCACUUAUUGAGCUUAUUUUACAUUUGUGAGGAUUCAUGAAAAAAAAAUCACAUAAUUUUGUCAUUUAAUGUAUCCAAGCCGUUUUCUCCUCCAUUGGAAUCUAAGUGGAGGAAGUUCUGAAGGCUAAGAAGAAGUAAUCCCCAAAUUUAGCAACUCUGGUGUUUUCAGUUGUUGAACAAUGAUUUAAAUCUACCUAGAAAGUGCUAAUAACAUUGUUACCAGACUCUUGAUAGAAAACCAUCUUCUGUUACUAGUUUAUAUGAUUACAUUUUCUGCUGCUGCUGAGAGAGAGGAAGCUUUGUGACUGUGCCCUGGCAUAGUCAGUUGUACAGAUUAGCCAAACAUGGUAUGUGAGCAUGUGGAUCAUACAGGAGCUCUAAAUUCUGAAUGGAAGGAUAAACCCUGAUGAUGCCUUGGCCUGAUGAGUGAUGACACUCGUAAUCACCCUGGGUGAAGGGGGAGGCCUGGCUGAUGAGCAAUAUCUGGUAAACGUUUUGACAUUAUUUAUAUGUGUCCUGACUGCCCUUUGCUCAGUAGUUGCAGCAACUUGUAGAAGCUGGACAUUAGCAUGAAGAUGAAGGUGUGGUUGCAGAAAGAAUGUUGGAUUUGAUUAAAAUUACCAAGACCUCUGUUUUGGUACCAAGUCUUCACCUAAUGAGCUCUAAUAUGAAUGUCAGGUCACAAGUGCUCCAAGCCUUCGUUUUUGCAUCUGUCAGAUGGAAAUGGUAAAUACUCACUUUACUUAUUUUUACCAGGUUAUUCUAAGAAUAAGAUUCAUUCAUUCCUUUGCUAAUACAACAAACAGUCUGAGUUUCCACCAUGUACCAGGGUUGUAGGCCUAACAAAGUGACAGAUGAAAAAGCACUCUGCAUAAUUAAGAGUUUUUGAAGUCUGUGAAAUAUUUCAUUUUUUUUUAUUUUUAGGUAAUUCUUACAUUUUACUCAGUUCUUAUAUCAAAGUACUUGACACUUUUAGAUCUCUGCCAAUCAUCAUAUUCACAGCAUGUUAGUAAUUUGACUAAAAAAAGAUGGAAAGGUUCUUAUCCAUUCUGCCUCUGAGAAGAGAAAAACAAAGUAUUAGGUUCUAAUUCUUUUGCUCAGACACCCUGACCACAGAACAAAUGACAAACCCAUCAUCUCAGUAGGCUUUCCAAUCUUUGAGUUGAACACAAACCUUUUUCAGAACGGUUAAAUUUUAUUUAUUUUUAUUUUUUUUUUUUAAUGGCCGCAACUGCAGCAUAUGGAAGUUCUGGGCUAGGUGUUGAAUCAGAGCUGCAGCUGCAGCUGCAGCUGAAGCCUGCACCACAGCCACAGCAACACCAGAUCCAAGCUGUGUCUGCAACCUACACUGCAGUUCACAACAACGCCAGAUCCUUUAACCCACUGAGCAAGGCCAGGGAUCAAACCUGCAUCCUCAUGGAUAUUAGUCAGGUUCUUAAACCCCUCAGCCAUGAUGGGAACUCCCAAGAACAUUUCAACUUAAAGCGCAAGGAAAGUACUAAAUAACUUUUUUGCACAAAGCAGGAUUUAAAUACAGUAUUCAAAAAGAUGCUUCCCUCACCAAAAUAAAUAAAUAAAAGGUCCUUCAACCUGAAUUAUUAUUUUUUGUUUGAAGAAUCAGUCUUCUCCAUCUUUUCUCUUUCCUAAGUAGCAUUUAUCAUCUCUCAGAAAAAAAGUAAAGAUUAAAAGAAAUAUUUUCAAGGUACAUCCAAGAUUUCAUAGCAAUAUUUUGUAUGCACAGUGCAAGAUAAAUCUGACUCUCACUUUUUUUUUUCCGGUCUUCAUAUGGCAUCCGAAGCAGUUGUUCACAUUCACACAUUUAUGUUUUACCAUAUGCAUACUGUGUGCAAUUCUGUUGUUUUAAAAUAUUUUAUUGGUUUUCCUUUAUAUCAACUUUUGAUGGGUGUCGCUGAAGAACUUGAAUGAAAAAAAAUACCAGUGUGAAUGAUUCAUUCAUUUUGAACAUAUCUAACUAUUGGGGGGAGAUUUUUACCCUACAUGAGGCACACUGUUCUUAGCAGGCCCUGUGCUUUGUAUUUCUGUUCUAGUCACAGCUGGAGGCUGGAGAUGAAUUAAUAUUGUAAACCUGUACCUUUUCUCUCAUGAGUUAUUUAUAUACUAGACUGUCCUUACUUUUUGGUGGUUGGGAAUGCCAGUCAUAAGUUGUAUGGAUUUCAUGUGUGGGGGCAGUUUAGUGUGACAUGGUUUGAUAUCCAGUCUGGUCUUCCUUUAGCUUUCCAAGUCAUUAGCAGACGUUCCUGGGCAGAUUUGUGGUGUGGGGCCAGACCUGUUAGUUGUAAGAUAGGAACUGCCCUCAACCUUUCCCACUGCUUCAUGGACCUUUUCAGACCAGCUGCUGUCAUAUUUUUCCUUCAAAUUUUCCAGCAGAGAAUCAAUCUCUGCGUGGUCCAGAGGCUUAAGACAAAAACAAAAGUACUUUUUUCCUCCAAAGGGUGGAACUCUCAUUUUAGAAGCUUCUGCAAAUCUUCAGAACAUUCCAUACAGGUGUCCCUGUGUUUCUCACAGUAUGACUUCCACUUACGGUGUCUCUGAUUUAAGAAGCAUGAAUGUUUCUCUAGCUGUUACCAGAACAAACAGCUGUAGCACACCACCCCAUUUCUAAAAUUGUGAAAUUCUAUCAGUGAAGAAUAUAUAGGAAAAGGUUCGGGAUUUUUUUAACUGUUAAAAACUAGAAUACCUUUCUACCUUUUGUAAUAUUUAAGAUUUCGUAACACUGGUUUUAAUGUACUACCCUUGCACUGUUAUGUCUUGUGUUUUAACUGAGCAAGCUGGUGAAUUUUAAUGUCGAUACUCAAUUCAGUAUUAAUACUGUGUUAGAAACACUCUUUGAAAACAUAAAAUUGUUUACCUGUGAUAAAGAAUAAGUUUGUGAUUGGAAGAAUGACACUGUUUUUCUUGUACAAAUAAUGCUUAAGGCAGAUGUUCAGAUUCACAGUGAUGUUAGAAACAUAUUUUAUGCAGCCUAAAAACGAUUUCUGUAUUAGAUAUUUAAAUGCAUGAGGAUAAAUUCUAAUUGCUUUUUGUUUAAAACGGAAACAUAGAAGAAGCAUUAGCCCCAGUUUGUACAAAAUGUCUGCUGCAACUGAGCUCAUGUUAGUUCAAAACUGAAAAUCAUUCCAAUUUUGUAAAACUGCUGUUACUGGUUUUAUCAAUAAAGUUUAAGCAGAUGGC
rnacentral:lncRNA from 1 species